CCUAAAUCCCAGCACAGUGGAGGUUGAGGCAGGGAGAUUAUGGGUUGGUGGCCAGCUUGGUGUAUAGAGACCUGGCUAAAAGAAAAACUCCAAGUAAUAAAUGUAAAAGUUAAAGAAUUAGUAAAGUGAAAAUCAUGAAGUGGGACAAAGUGACACAGCUGGAGAGUUCAAAGAAGGUCAUGGUCACUUCAUGUGGAAGAUGAAUUGAGCAAUGGAUCCAGGCCUGGAUCAUGGUCUCCAAGGAGCUUCUGUGGUAGACUGCACAGCACACGUGUGUCAUAGCCUGUUGAACAAGAAGAAUUAAGUACAUUCUGAAUGACUACAUUGGAAGAUUAUUGGAAGCCUGGGCAUGAUUCCCCCUGCCCUUUUCUUUGAUAAUUUUGCUGAAAUAAAUCAUAGUUACAAGUCCAGCUUCACAGAGUCUUGGGAGCCCUCUGGAGUCAUCAAACAUUGUCUGUCUGAAGAUGUUCUUGUGAGUCCCAGCACAGCAAGACAUCCUCUUAUUGGAACACUGAUUUCAGAAAUAUAUUUAUUUAUGUUUAUUUUAUGUUGUAUUGCUAUUUUGCCUAGAUAUGCAUCUCUGUCCCAUGUGUGUGCAGUGACCACAGAGGCCACAAGGGGGUGUGGCCCCAGG